GGUAGUGUGGCCGAGUGGUCCAAGGCGCUGAAUUUAGAUUCCAGUCUCUUCGGGGAUGUGGGUUCAAAUCCCACUGCUGCCA